AACGCGAAGAACCUUACCUGGGCUCGAAGCGCAGUGGACCGGGGUAGAAAUAUCCCUUCCUCGCAAGAGGCUGCUGCGGAGGUGCUGCAUGGCUGUCGUCAGCUCGUGUCGUGAGAUGUUGGGUUAAGUCCCGCAACGAGCGCAACCCUUAUCCCUAGUUGCCAUCGGGUCAAGCCGGGCACUCUAGUGAAACCGCCCAGGAUAACUGGGAGGAAGGUGGGGAUGACGUCAAGUCCUCAUGGCCUUUAUGUCCAGGGCUACACACGUGCUACAAUGGUCGGUACAAACCGUCGCAAACCCGCGAGGGGGAGCUAAUCGGAAAAAACCGGUCUCAGUUCGGAUUGCAGGCUGCAACUCGCCUGCAUGAAGCUGGAAUCGCUAGUAAUCACGUAUCAGAACGACGUGGUGAAUACGUUCCCGGGCCUUGUACACACCGCAUAC
rnacentral:rRNA from 1 species